UUUUUUGUAUGUAUUUUCCCCUUUUCUCCUUUCAAUAACAUUUCUCUAUUUUGUCUCACGCUUGUACAAUCUAGUAACUCCAUCGUUCUCAUCUCCAUGCAACUCUAUUGUGGUUGGAUCUCACUGACAUGUCAUGUUUGCUAUUCCACCAAUCUUUUGAGUCUCAUGCCAUUCGCUACUCCUGGUUAUGUACUCUAUUCUCCCUCAACUUUAACUUCUUCACCUAUUUGUUUUUGUUUUCUCCUAUAGCUUUAUUUUUUUUCUUAUAGUCCUUUGAUUUCCAUUCAAAUUUUCAAGGAAAAGAUAGGGAAAUGAUAAUAUGUUAGUUUUCUAUUUAGAUUUCGCAUGGCUUUCAUGGCUCUUGGAGCAAAAGUUGUGAUGUUAUUGGAUUGAAUUUGUAUGAUGCUCAUUUCUGUACGUGUCUUCAUCCCUUGGUUUGUUCUAUGAUUUGAUGAAACUAUGAAAGUAAAGUAUAGCGAUGCCAUGGUUUUAAAAUGUGGUUGUGGUUACUUCACAAGCCUUUACACUGCAUCAAAAUAAAGAUAAAUGUAGUUGAUGCAAUCUAAAUUGCAGCUGUGAUUCCACUGUGGAGUCUUCAAAAUAUGCAAUUUUGCAGGUUCAAUUGCAAGAUCAUAAGGUCAUAUGUCUUUCCUUAUAGUUAAUAUAUUUACUUGGAUCAUACAACCUUUUUGGUAUAAUUCCAUAUGUCUUUCCUUAUAAUUGUAGCCUACUAGUUCAAAAACUAAUGUUUUGGAUGAAGAAUUCAACAAAAGAAUAACAAAUAUCGAGGGCAAAGAUUAAAAAAAAAACCAAAAAAUAAAAAAAGCAAAACUACGUCAUAAUCUUUUCUGCCUCAUAUAAAGAACAAUUUCUUCAUAAAUUUUUUUGUGGUGAUAUUCUUCUUUUUGAAAAACUCUAAUACUUAUGCGUCUAAAUUAGAAUCUGACAAUAGGCCACACUCCGAAAGUCAACUCUCUGCUCAAAGUUAUCUGUUUACUAGUCAAUCCUUUGAUCAAGUCAACAACUUAACAUCCUCUUACCUCUACUUUUUCAAAGUUACUCUUAUCCUCUAAUGGAUCAUCCUAUGAUAUUCAUGUCAUUUUUAUCAAGAUACGCUAAAGACAAAAAUGGACAAGUAUUGAAUGUUGAUUCAAGAAUUAUGAAGAUUGAUAUGAUCCAUAUUUUACGUAUUGAAUUUAUGCCAAUUAAUACAAUGGUCAGAAACCCUAAUAGUUGUGCAAGUAUCUAUGUAAAGGUGUACGAUCAUCAGUGCAAGUUGAUAAGCUAGAAGUUAUCUAUUUUGAUAGCUUUAUUUGAUAGGUUAAUUUGAUGCUUUUAAUUUGGUUUUAGUUCUAUCUUACUACCUUUUUGUUUUGUUUAGAUUGCAAGGAGAAGUGAAGGAAUUGGUGAAGAUUUUUAGUGCAAAAGAGCCUUGAAGUCAAGUGGUGCAGUCAUGGUGCAUCCUGAUCAAGAAAAUGAAAUAAAGUCAAGUUCCAGCAAGUAUUAUUGUCUGGCCAUAAUGGUCAUUACGGUCAUAAUGAAUGAACGAGAAAAAACAAGAAUUUGUCACUCCAAGUCAACAAAGAUUAUUAUCUAGCAGUACGUAAUAACCAUAAUCUGCUCAUCUUCUGUUGUCAAACCUGUUACUAUCUGGCAGUAAUGGCCAUUAUGACCAUAAUCUGCUCAUCUUCUGUUGUUGAACAAUUUUUCUUCUAUGAAAUUCUGACGGUUUCUUGUAAUUAAAGCUCAUGAAGGCACUUAAGCUAUAAAAAUGGCGAAAAUACUCAGUUUUAGACAAACAUUCCUACUCACAAUUUCUUGUUAUUGUUUCUUUUGUUCUUG
rnacentral:lncRNA from 1 species